rnacentral:rRNA from 1 species
GACGAACGCUGGCGGCGUGCUUAACACAUGCAAGUCGAACGAAGUGGCGAACGGGUGAGUAACGCGUAAGCAACCGCCCCAUCAGAGGGGGACAACAGUGGGAAACGACUGCGAAUACCGCAAAGUGAUGGGGGGGCUUGAGUGUGAUUAGCUAGGUGGGGGGGUAACGGCCCACCAAGGCGAGGAUACGUAGCCGGUCCGAGAGGUGGAACGGCCCCAUCGGGACUUGGACCAGGCCCAGACCCCUAAGGGAGGGAGCAGGGGGGAAACUGUCGCAAUGGACGAAAGUCUGACGGAGCAACGCCGCGUGAGGGAUGACGGCCUUCGGGUUGUAAAGCUCUGUUAAUCGGGACGCGGUACCGGAAUAGAAAGCCACGGCUAACUACGUGCCAGCCGCCGCGGUAAUUC